GGGCAUUCAGAAGGCUUGCACUCUGGGCUACAUACAGGGAACCUGGUUUCUCCUCUCAUCGCCCAGGGGAAAGUCCCCGGACACGUGGCAGAAAGUGCCCUGGCUUGAAACCAGUAUCGAUCUGUGCUCCACCACUAAUGAGCUGAGAUGUUCUGCUGAACUGAGCUCGGUGAUCGCAGGUCGAAUUUGUCAGCGUUGAUAGUUAUGCAAGAAAGCUGCUAGUAACGCCUUAACAGAACGGGGCUCAUUCUCCGAAUGCU
ensembl:ribozyme RNase_MRP RNase MRP